rnacentral:RNase_P_RNA from 2 species
CGAAGGGGAAGAGAUGGUCGCUCCUCACUGACAUCCCGGAGACGGGAUCAUGGGGAGAGGAAAGUCCGAGCUCCACAGGACAGGGUGGUCCGUAACGCGGACUGCUCCCUGUGAGGUGGCGGUUACGCCUACCUCACAGGGGGUAAGGAAAGUGCCACAGAAAAGAUACCGCCCUGUGAAAUGGCGGACACGCCUAUUUCACAGGGUAAGGGUGAAAAGGUGAGGUAAGAGCUCACCAGUAUCCCGGGUGACCGGGAUAGCUUGGUAAACCCCACCCGGAGCAAGACCAAAUAGGCCCUGCCCCCCUGAGAGGGGGUGAGAAGAGUCCAUUCAAAUUGCCCGAUCUCUGUCGGGCAAGGCAGGGCGGGUUGGGUCGCUUGAGACCCUGAGCAAUCAGGGCCCUAGAUAAAUGACCAUCAUUCCAACCGACGGUUGGAAUACAGAACUCGGCUUAUGGUCCCUUUCGCCCC